AGUGAACGCUGGCGGUAGGCCUAACACAUGCAAGUCGAACGGCAGCACAGUAAGAGCUUGCUCUUACGGGUGGCGAGUGGCGGACGGGUGAGGAAUACAUCGGAAUCUACUUUUUCGUGGGGGAUAACGUAGGGAAACUUACGCUAAUACCGCAUACGACCUACGGGUGAAAGCAGGGGAUCUUCGGACCUUGCGCGAUUGAAUGAGCCGCUGUCGGUUUAGCUAGUUGGCGGGGUAAAGGCCCACCAAGGCGACGAUCCGUAGCUGGUCUGAGAGGAGGGUCGCCCACAUUGGAACUGAGACACGGUCCAGACUCCUACGGGAGGCAGCAGUGGGGAAUAUUGGACAAUGGGCGCAAGCCUGAUCCAGCCAUACCGCGUGGGUGAAGAAGGCCUUCGGGUUGUAAAGCCCUUUUGUUGGGAAAGAAAAGCAGCAGGUUAAUACCCCGCUGUUCUGACGGUACCCAAAGAAUAAGCACCGGCUAACUUCGUG
rnacentral:rRNA from 1 species